rnacentral:misc_RNA from 1 species
GUAGGUGAACCUGCGGAAGGAUCAUUAAAAAGUGGUGGUGUCAAUCACCCCCCUAGGCUACUGAUGCUUGGGCUUGCCCUUGCUAACUAGCCUAGGCCACUUCACCCUUGAUAAAAUACCAUUGUUGCUUUGGCAGGUCGUGGCCUCGGCCCGCAGCGCCUGCCAGAGGACCCAAACUCUUUUGUUAUGUGACGUCUGAGUACUAUAUAAUAGUUAAAACUUUCAACAACGGAUCUCUUGGUUCUGGCAU